CCUACGGGUGGCAGCAGUGGGGAAUAUUGCACAAUGGGGGAAACCCUGAUGCAGCGACGCCGCGUGAGUGAAGAAGUAAUUCGUUACGUAAAGCUCUAUCAGCAGGGAAGAAAAUGACGGUACCUGAGUAAGAAGGUCUGGCGAACUACUUGCCAGCAGCCGCGGUAUUACGUAGGGGGCAAGCGUUAUCCGGAUGUACUGGGUGUAAAGGGAGCGUAGACGGUGUGCCAAGUCUGGAGUGAAAGCCUGCAGCUUAACUGCGGAACUGCUGUGGAAACUGGCAAACUAGAGUGCGGGAGGGGAAAGCGGAAUUCCUGGUGUAGCGGUGAAAUGCGUAGAUAUUAGGAGGAACACCGGUGGCGAAGGCGGCUUACUGGACCGUAACUGACGUUGAGGUUCGAAAGCGUGGGUAGCAAACAGGAUUAGAUACCCGAGUAGUC
rnacentral:rRNA from 1 species